rnacentral:rRNA from 1 species
CCUACGGGUGGCAGCAGUGGGGAAUAUUGGGCAAUGGGCGCAAGCCUGACCCAGCAACGCCGCGUGAAGGAAGAAGGCUUUCGGGUUGUAAACUUCUUUUCUCAGGGACGAAGCAAGUGACGGUACCUGAGGUAUAAGCCACGGCUAACUACGUGCCAGCAGCCGCGGUAAUCCGUAGGUGGCAAGCGUUAUCCGGGUUUACUGGGUGUAAAGGGCGUGUAGGCGGGAAAGCAAGUCAGAUGUGAAAACCAUGGGCUCAAACUGUGGCCUGCAUUUGAAACUGUUUUUCUUGAGUACUGGAGAGGCAGACGGAAUUCCUGGUGUAGCGGUGAAAUGCGUAGAUAUUAGGAAGAACACCAGUGGCGAAGGCGGUCUGCUGGACAGCAACUGACGCUGAGGCGCGAAAGCGUGGGGAGCGAACAGGAUUAGAUACCCCGGUAGUC